CGGUGCUUGCAUCGCCUGACAUCACAUGACCGGAUGAUCGGAUUCGCCCAUGUAUGGACGAGUCCGUAGCCGGGCUCCGUCUCCGUCCCGGAGGU
rfam:Streptomyces griseus subsp. griseus NBRC 13350 DNA, complete genome.